UACAGAGGUCUCAAGCGUUGUUCGGAUUCAUUGGGCGUAAAGGGUGCGUAGGCGGCGCGGUAAGUCGGGUGUGAAAUCUCGGGGCUUAACUCCGAAACUGCAUUCGAUACUGCCGUGCUUGAGGACUGGAGAGGAGACUGGAAUUUACGGUGUAGCGGUGAAAUGCGUAGAUAUCCGGAGGAAGACCGGUGGCGAAGGCGGCCUGCUGGGCAGUUACUGACACUGAGGCGCGACAGCGUGGGGAGCAAACAGG
rnacentral:rRNA from 1 species